GUGCUCACUUCAGCAGCACAUAUAGUAAAACCAGAACAACACAGAGAUUGGCCUGGCGCCUGUGCGUGGAUAACACAUACAAAUUUGUGAAGUGCUCCAUAUAUUU
ensembl:snRNA U6 U6 spliceosomal RNA